CGGGUAAUACUACAUGUACUGUAUACUUAUAUCUAUAUUAGAAUUAGACUUAUCCUACUGAGUCUGCCUCUAGUGUAGCUGCUGUUUGGCUGAGUGUGAACUGCUGUAUGAUAGAUUUAAUUGUCUCUUCUGUAAAAUAAGGAAUUAUUUUUACUGUUAAAGUAAUGCCAAGGUCUGGUGUCAUUUUGAAUGUUAUAUAAACUGAACAAUACAUGUGGAAUAAUAGUGUAGCAUUAACAUCAUUUUACCCUCUUCUCUCCCUCACUUUAUACCCUCUCACCUCCAGAUGCCGAACAGCGCCGACUAGUGUUCAGAAUUUCUAACCCUUUUAACAUAGAAUACUAAAGACGAAUACUAAAUAUGUGUAGACACAAGAUUUCAUCAUUCACAAUUGCAUUCUUAUAAUACUGCCUCAUAAACCACAUUGAUAGUUUUUUAGCCAAGAGAGAGACUUUACAACGACCCCUGAAACGAAUAGAAAGGUAUAAGUAACAUACAAAGUCCAGUAUUUAACCAGAAAAGGUCCCAUUAAAGGCAAAGGCCACACAGAUGUUUCAACCAUUCUCCAUUAAAUAAAGGUCCUGUGAGCAGAGGAGCCCUGCUCCCCACCUCCCUCACAGUGCUGCCGUAUAGAUGUCCGUCCACACGGGGGCGCUGCCGGAGGCCCAGCAGGAGUUUUUGGUAAACUUGCGUGCAGGAAAUAAUUUUGUGUGAUUUUGUGGUGAAUCCCCUGAAAGACAUUAAAGCCAAUAUGCUUGUUAAUACUCCUUUAUUUGUUCAUGCAGUUUUUUUGGAUCUGUUUUUAAUUGUUUCAUAACCUGUUUAAAGUUCUCUGUAGUGACAUUAAAAGCAAUCGAUAACAUACUGGGAAAUAGCUUAGCAUGAAGUCUGAAAACAGGGAAUCAGCUGGCAGCGAGGGCGGAGCAAGCAGGCGCUUAUAUAGGUGAAGGCCACACCUUCAUCCAGGUGCCCUCAAUCACUCACCGGGGAGCAGCACCUAGGACUCACACACACACAUGGACAUAGCAUUAUGCUCUAUGGUGGGGCCCCUUUGGGUUUAUUUGGUCUCUGUAGCAUUGUCCUGUCUGGGACCUGCCCAUAUUAGAACCUUAACCCCUAGUAUGUUUUCACUCCA
ensembl:lncRNA